GCAAGGUAAAUGAAUUAAAAUGCAUAUUAGUACAAAACAAGGACAGAGUAAAAGGAAAUUCCAAAACUUUAUUGAACAGAGGUGUUAAACAGAGCCACGAGCACAUUGCUCCCUCCAUCAAAUGAAACAAUUAGAACAACUUUCCAAGCAUCACUAUAACCAUCAAAACGAAGAAUUCAAAGGUUCGCUCCCUAACUAAACUAAUUAUUUAAAAAUUCCUGAACAAUCAUGGAAAUCAUAACUGUUUAAUAAUGAAAUGCAGACUAUUUUCUUACUGCGCAUCGCCAAAAUCGCUGAA
rnacentral:misc_RNA from 1 species